GGCGAACGGGUGAGUAACACGUGGGCAAUCUGCCCUGCACUCUGGGACAAGCCCUGGAAACGGGGUCUAAUACCGGAUACGACGCGCUCAGGCAUCUGAUGCGCGUGGAAAGCUCCGGCGGUGCAGGAUGAGCCCGCGGCCUAUCAGCUUGUUGGUGAGGUAACGGCUCACCAAGGCGACGACGGGUAGCCGGCCUGAGAGGGCGACCGGCCACACUGGGACUGAGACACGGCCCAGACUCCUACGGGAGGCAGCAGUGGGGAAUAUUGCACAAUGGGCGAAAGCCUGAUGCAGCGACGCCGCGUGAGGGAUGACGGCCUUCGGGUUGUAAACCUCUUUCAGCAGGGAAGAAGCGAAAGUGACGGUACCUGCAGAAGAAGCGCCGGCUAACUACGUGCCAGCAGCCGCGGUAAUACGUAGGGCGCGAGCGUUGUCCGGAAUUAUUGGGCGUAAAGAGCUCGUAGGCGGCUUGUCGCGUCGGUUGUGAAAGCCCGGGGCUUAACCCCGGGUCUGC
rnacentral:rRNA from 1 species